rnacentral:rRNA from 1 species
AUUGAACGCUGGCGGCAGGCUUAACACAUGCAAGUCGAGCGGAGAUGAGGUGCUUGCACCUUAUCUUAGCGGCGGACGGGUGAGUAAUGCUUAGGAAUCUGCCUAUUAGUGGGGGACAACAUUCCGAAAGGAAUGCUAAUACCGCAUACGCCCUACGGGGGAAAGCAGGGGAUCUUCGGACCUUUGGCUAAUAGAUGCGCCUAAGUCGGAUUAGCUAGUUGGUGGGGUAAAGGCCUACCAAGGCGACGAUCUGUAGCGGGUCUGAGAGGAUGAUCCGCCACACUGGGACUGAGACACGGCCCAGACUCCUACGGGAGGCAGCAGUGGGGAAUAUUGGACAAUGGGCGGAAGCCUGAUCCAGCCAUGCCGCGUGUGUGAAGAAGGCCUUUUGGUUGUAAAGCACUUUAAGCGAGGAGGAGGCUACCUGGAUUAAUACUCUAGGAUAGUGGACGUUACUCGCAGAAUAAGCACCGGCUAACUCUGUGCCAGCAGCCGCCGUAAUAC